GAUGAAGAACGCAGCGAAAUGCGAUAAGUAAUGUGAAUUGCAGAAUUCAGUGAAUCAUCGAAUCUUUGAACGCACCUUGCGCUCCUUGGUAUUCCGAGGAGCAUGCCUGUUUGAGUGUCAUUAAUAUAUCAACCUCUUCAGCUUAUGCUUGUUGAGUGUUGGAUGGUGGGGGUUUGCUGGUGUCUUAUGAAGUCAGCUCCUCUGAAAUGCAUUAGCGGAACAAUUUGUUGACCGUUCAUUGGUGUGAUAAAAAUAUCUACGCUAUUGACGUCAGUCAGUUCAGCUUCUAACAGUCCAUUGACUUGGACAAAUUUUUCAUUAAUGUGACCUCAAAUCAGGUAGGACUACCCGCUGAACUUAAGCAUAUCAAUAAGCGGGGA
rnacentral:misc_RNA from 1 species